AGUAUUAGAAAGGAGUUAGCUUACUUUUGGUAGUGUUUUUGUAGAACAAAAAUUGCCAAUAAGUGUCAUCUUGAUGCCAAACACAAGUGAACAGUUGCUGUGUGAAUUGUC